GGGAGGUUUGUGUUUCCACAGCCCAGUUUCAGUUCCCGUGUGCCCGUCACGGUGGGUGUAUCUCAUCUUCCUGUGUGUGGUUCUAGUGUUGAAGAUAGGUGUUGUCCAUAAAAGUGGCCCAUUUCAAAGCCAGUCACAGAAUUCACCUGCUGUUUAACUGGAAAAAACAAACCAGCCAGCAGUCUCUUCCACUGCUUCUGGAAAAAACUGCCUCCGUUAAGACGUACUGACAGAUGCUGUCUGGAUCUCGGUCACAACCCAUACCCGAUGGAAGCUGAAAGGUAGUGGUGGGACUGGAAUCUUAUACUGCAAAGAAGGACAAGGAGGCACCUCUGACCCCUCCCUGCAGCAGGCCUCUGAAGCAACCCAGGAAGUCCCAGAGAGAGGAAGAGAAAGGAUGAAGGAAGCAGAGUCAGGGUGGAGCAACACCAGGUCGGGAUCUGCUGUGUCUGUCUUUGAAGAAGAAGAGGCCACCAGCCAAGGAAUACAGGAGGCCUCUAGGAACUGGGAAAGCUGUUUAUCUUAAUUUGUAGACUUCAUUGUCUAACGAAGAGGUCCAGGACCACAGCACAAAGGAGGUAAACAAUGAGUGUCGUUGCAGGAGC
ensembl:lncRNA